rnacentral:rRNA from 1 species
CAGCCGCCGCGGUAAUACGAGGGGGGCAAGCGUUGUUCGGAUUUAUUGGGCGUAAAGGGUGCGUAGGCGGUUUGGCAAGUCUCGUGUGAAAUCUAUGGGCUCAACCCAUAGCCUGCACGAGAAACUACCGGGCUUGAGUAUUGGAGAGGUGAGUGGAAUUUCCGGUGUAACGGUGAAAUGCGUAGAUAUCGGAAGGAACACCUGUGGCGAAAGCGGCUCACUGGACAAUAACUGACGCUGAUGCACGAAAGCUAGGGGAGCAAACAGGAUUAGAUACCCGCGUAGUCCCUGUCUCUUAUAU